rnacentral:rRNA from 1 species
UACAGAGGUCUCAACCGUUGUUCGGAUUCAUUGGGCGUAAAGGGUGCGCAGGCGGUCUCGUAAGCUGGGUGUGAAAGCCCCGGGCUUAACCUGGGAAUGGCAUUCAGGACUGCGAGCUUUGAGUGCGGCAGAGGGAGGUGGAAUUCCACGUGUAGCAGUGAAAUGCGUAGAGAUGUGGAGGAACACCGAUGGCGAAGGCAGCCUCCUGGGCCAGCACUGACGCUCAUGCACGAAAGCGUGGGGAGCAAACAG